rnacentral:rRNA from 1 species
CCUACGGGAGGCAGCAGUGAGGAAUAUUGGUCAAUGGACGAGAGUCUGAACCAGCCAAGUCGCGUGAAGGAUGACUGCCCUAUGGGUUGUAAACUUCUUUUAUAUGGGAAUAAAAUGUUCCACGUGUGGGAUCUCGUAUGUACCAUAUGAAUAAGGAUCGGCUAACCCCGUGCCAGCAGCCGCGGUAAUAAGGAGGAUCCGGGCGUUAUCCGGAUUUGUUGGGGUUAAAGGGAGCGUAGGUUGAUUGUUAAGUCAGUUGUGAAAGUUUGCGGGUCAACCGUAAAAUUGCAGUUGAAACUGGCAGUCUUGAGUAGAGUAGAGGUGGGCGGAAUGCGUGGUGUAGCGGUGAAAUGCUUAGAUAUCACGAAGAACUCCGAUUGCGAAGGCAGCUCACUGGACUGCAACUGACACUGAGGCUCGAAAGUGUGGGUAUCGAACAGGAUUAGAUACCCGGGUAGUC